rnacentral:rRNA from 1 species
UGGGCCAUUACUGACGCUGAUGGACGAAAGCUAGGGAGCGAAAGGGAUUAGAUACCCCUGUAGUCCUAGCUGUAAACGAUGGACACUAGGUGUUGGCCGUAUCGACCCGGUCAGUAUCGAAGCAAACGCGUUAAGUGUCCCGCCUGGGGAGUACGCACGCAAGUGUGAAACUCAAAGGAAUUGACGGGGGCCCGCACAAGCGGUGGAGUAUGUGGUUUAAUUCGAUGCAACGCGAAGAACCUUACCAGGGAUUGACAUCCUACGAACUUUCGUGAAAGCGAUUGGUGCCUUCGGGAACGUAGAGACAGGUGGUGCAUGGCUGUCGUCAGCUCGUGUCGUGAGAUGUUGGGUUAAGUCCCGCAACGAGCGCAACCCUCGUCCUUAGUUGCCAUCAUUAAGUUGGGCACUUUAAGGAGACUGCCGGUGACAAACCGGAGGAAGGUGGGGAUGACGUCAAGUCAUCAUGCCCCUUACAUCCUGGGCUACACACGUACUACAAUGCAACGGACAAAGGGCAGCCAACUAGCGAUAGUGAGCUAAUCCCAUAAACCGUUGCUCAGUUCAGAUUGCAGGCUGCAACUCGCCUGCAUGAAGGCGGAAUCGCUAGUAAUCGCAGGUCAGCAUACUGCGGUGAAUACGUUCCCGGGCCUUGUACACACCGCCCGUCACACCAUGGAAGUUGGCCACGCCCGAAGUCGUUACCCCAACCGUUUACGGAGGGGGACGCCGAAGGCAGGGCUGAUGACUGGGGUGAAGUCGUAACAAGGUAACC